GGAACGACCGCGAAGACAGAGUCAUUCCAGCCUGCCUUCGUGCAACAGAGCACCGCUUUGUCUCGGUAUUUUCCUCGAUGCUAGCAGCCUGGACGGAGACGAAUCGGGCUCGGUUGUACUUCCGCGACAUGGUGUCGACGCUGAGACGCGCCCUCGGGAAUACAAUUCCUGACAAAAACGACCUGGCGAGAAACGAAGUAGAUGCAUAUGUUGCAUUCAGGGUCGUGACCAUCGAUGACGAAGAAGAAGCAGUCGGCGUCAUUCGUGCACGUGCCUUCACGUCUAGGCAACGAGAAGGAAGAAGCGAAGAUCCCGGUAUCUGUGUUCCACCAUCUCGGCUGAGGCAUGAGUGCUUCAUCUCCUCGUGAAAACACUGCAGCAUCAAAAUCAUCCGUCACUGGAACAGUUGACGACGGCAUACCGAAGGAGCUAGAAGAAGUAUUUGACAUCAUCGAGCAAAGCAAGGGCCAGAUGAUCACGUGGCUAAAGGACUUGGUUGCCAUCCCCAGCGUGUCAGCCGAAAAACAACACCACAAGGACAUCAUGCGUGCCAUCAAAGAAACCGGC
rnacentral:lncRNA from 1 species